GGACAUCGGCAGGCUUACCAUGCAAGUCGAGGGGUAACAUUGUGCUUGCACAGAUGACGACCGGCGCACGGGUGCGUAACGCGUAUAGAACCUACCUUUUACAGAGGAAUAGCCUUUAGAAAUGAAGAUUAAUGCCUCAUAGUAUUGAGUAAUCGCAUGAUUAUUUAAUUAAAGAUUUAUCGGUAAAAGAUGGCUAUGCGUCCUAUUAGUUAGUUGGUAAGGUAACGGCUUACCAAGACAUCGAUAGGUAGGGGUCCUGAGAGGGAGAUCCCCCACACUGGUACUGAGACACGGACCAGACUCCUACGGGAGGCAGCAGUGAGGAAUAUUGGACAAUGGAGGAGACUCUGAUCCAGCCAUGCCGCGUGUAGGAAGAAUGCCCUAUGGGUUGUAAACUACUUUUAUACAGGAAGAAACACUGGUAUGUAUACCAGCUUGACGGUACUGUAAGAAUAAGGACCGGCUAACUCCGUGCCAGCAGCCGCGGUAAC
rnacentral:rRNA from 1 species